rnacentral:rRNA from 1 species
GGCGCACGGGUGCGUAACACGUAACUAACCUACCCACCAUUGGGGGAUAGCCCGCCGAAAGGCGGAUUAAUACCGCAUAACACUUUUACUCGGCAUCGGGUGAUAGUUAAAGAUUUAUUGAUGGUGGAUGGGGUUGCGGGUCAUUAGCUAGUUGGUUGGGUAACGGCUGACCAAGGCGACGAUGACUAGGGGAGCUGAGAGGCUGGUCCCCCACACGGGCACUGAGAUACGGGCCCGACUCCUACGGGAGGCAGCAGUAGGGAAUAUUGGGCAAUGGGCGAGAGCCUGACCCAGCCAUGCCGCGUGCAGGAAGAAGGCUUUCUGAGUCGUAAACUGCUUUUGACAGGGAAGAAUAAGCUGAACGUGUUCAGUGAUGACGGUACCUGCAGAAUAAGCACCGGCUAACUCCGUGCCAGCAGCCGCGGUAAU